GACGAACCAUGCAAACGUUAUUCGGAUUCACUGGGCUUAAAGCGUGCGUAGGCGGUCUUGUUAGUCAGGUGUGAAAGCCCUCAGCCUAACUGAGGAAUUGCGCUUGAUACUGCAUGACUAGAGAAUGAUAGAGGUGGGUGGAACUGAUGGUGGAGCGGUGAAAUGCGUUGAUAUCAUCAGGAACACCAGUGGCGAAGGCGGCUACCUGGACCGGAACUGACGCUGAUGCGCGAAAGCGUGGGGAGCAAACAGG
rnacentral:rRNA from 1 species